CUCUCUCUCUGGCUGUCUCUAUCUCUGUCAAAUAAAUAAAUAAAAUCUUUUAAAAAAAUAAAUAAAUAAAAAAAUAAAGAGAACACCAAUGGCACAACUAGAUUAUUUCUUGAUAGAGUUUAUGGGAUUGUAUGAGCAGAAACACAGCCAAUUUGAACUGAAGGGGAUGAGAUGGGGCCAAAUGAAGGAAGGCUGUUGGACUUACUGAAUUUGACAGGACAGAAUGAUAGAGCUGUUCGGCUGUGAACAUGCACUAUUCUGCAGGAAGAGGGGAAAAUGACCUUGAAAGUGGUUGAGAGAUCAUCAGGGCCACUGCCGCAGUUUCAGCAGCCUUGGGAGUGGGACAACCCAGCAGAACCUUGGGGGUGAUGCUGCCACCUACUGUACCUGGAGGGCAGAGCAUUGAACCAGGGAGGAGGAUUAUUUUCAAGCCUUCAAAUCUAAUGGAAUUUUUGUCUUGCUAAUUUUUGAAUUUGCUUGGGGCCAUCACCCCUUCCUUCUUCUCCCUUUUGGAAUGAAAAUGUCUGUCCUGUGCCUGUCCCACUAUUGUAUUUUGAAAGCACAUAACUUGUCUGAUUUCACAGAUUCAUAGCUGCCUCAGGAUGAAUCAUACCUCCAGUCUCACGAUAUCUGAUUUAGAUGAUACUCAGACAGCCAUGUGAAUACAGAGAUAACGUAGAAUGCCAUUUGAAGAUAAAAAUAGAGAUCAGAGUGAUGUAGCAGAAGCCAAAGAAUGCCAGAGAUUGCCAGCAAACCACCAGAAGCGAGGGGAGAGCAUGGGACAGGUUUUCUUUCACAGCCCCCAGAAGGAACCAAGCCUGUUGACACCUUCAGCUCAGACUUCUAGCUUCCAGAACUGUAAGAAGAGAGGCAACGUGGGAACCAUGGAAGAGCUUCUCCCCAAACCCGAAUGAAGAAAUAAUGAUUUUUUUAAAAAAAGAUUUUAUUUAUCCAUUUGACAGAGAGAGAGCACAAGCAGGGGGAGCAGCAGGCAGAGGGAGAGGGAGAAGCAGGCUCCCC